UAUCCCAUAGCAUAAGCUAGUAAGGACCCUUGUAGACAACAAGGUUGAUAGGUUGGGUGUGGAAGCGCAGUAAUGUGUGUAGCUGACCAAUACUAAUAGUCCGAGGGCUUGAUCACAUAA
rnacentral:rRNA from 1 species